AGAUUGAACGCUGGCGGCAGGCCUAACACAUGCAAGUCGAGCGGUAGAGAGGUGCUUGCACCUCUUGAGAGCGGCGGACGGGUGAGUGAUGCCUAGGAAUCUGCCUAGUGGUGGGGGAUAACGUUCGGAAACGGACGCUAAUACCGCAUACGUCCUACGGGAGAAAGCGGGGGACCUUCGGGCCUCGCGCCAUUAGAUGAGCCUAGGUCGGAUUAGCUAGUUGGUGAGGUAAUGGCUCACCAAGGCGACGAUCCGUAACUGGUCUGAGAGGAUGAUCAGUCACACUGGAACUGAGACACGGUCCAGACUCCUACGGGAGCAGCAGUGGGGAAUA
rnacentral:rRNA from 1 species